GCCGGCGUAGCUCAAUUGGUAGAGCAACUGACUUGUAAUCAGUAGGUUGGGGGUUCAAGUCCUCUCACCGGCACCA
rnacentral:tRNA from 4 species